GAUGAACGCUGGCGGCGUGCCUAAUACAUGCAAGUCGAGCGAACAGACGAGGAUCUUGCUCCUCUCACGUGAGCGGCGGACGUGUGAGUAACACGUGUAUCACCUACCUAUAAGACUGGUAUAACUUCGGGAAACCGGAUCUAAUACCGGAUAAUAUAUUGCACCGCAUGGUUCAAUAGUGAAAGUCGGUGUUUCUGUCACUUAUAGAUGCAUCCCCGCCGCAUUAGCUAGUUGUUAAGGUAACGGCUUACCAAGGCAACGAUGCGUAGACGACGUGAUAGAGGGGUCGGCCACACUGGAGGUGGAACGGGGUCAAGAGUACUACGGGAGGGAGCAGAAGGCUAUGGUCCGCAAAGGGCGAAAGUCUGACGGAGCGAGCGCAAGUGAGUGAUGAAAGUGUUGGGAGCGUAAAGCUCUGUUAUUAGGGAAAAACAAAUGUGUCCGUAGCUAUAGACGUAUUGACGGUAAUUAGUCAGAAAGCCGCGGCUAACUACGUG
rnacentral:rRNA from 1 species